rnacentral:rRNA from 1 species
GAUGAACGCUAGCGACAGGCCUAACACAUGCAAGUCGAGGGGCAUCACAGAGUAGCAAUACUUGGGUGGCGACCGGCGCACGGGUGAGUAACGCGUAUGCAACCUACCUACAACAGGGGGAUAACCCGGAGAAAUUCGGACUAAUACCGCAUAAAACAGGGGUCCCGCAUGGGAAUAUUUGUUAAAGAUUUAUCGGUUGUAGAUGGGCAUGCGUUCCAUUAGUUAGUUGGCGAGGUAACGGCUCACCAAGACGUCGAUGGAUAGGGGAACUGAGAGGUUUGUCCCCCACACUGGAACUGAGACACGGACCAGACUCCUACGGGAGGCAGCAGUGAGGAAUAUUGGUCAAUGGGCGAGAGCCUGAACCAGCCAAGUCGCGUGAAGGAAGACGGCCUUAUGGGUUGUAAACUUCUUUUGCAGGGGAAUAAAAAGGAGUACGUGUACUCUAUUGCAUGUACCCUGCGAAUAAGCAUCGGCUAACUCCGUG